rnacentral:sRNA from 1 species
AGACUUCGGUAAAUCAAACAGUUAACUGUUUACCUGCGCAAAUUAAGCAAAAUCUGAUGUAUAAAAAAAGUACUGAAAUACAAUUCAUUCUAUCGGUAAUUCGGCAGUAUAUUUUGCGUAAUAGUAGAUUAAUGCAAUAGGUUUUGUUGAGAUGCUCGGCAUUUUCUUGAGUUUAUUCAGUUUAAAUAGAGUUUGAUAUCGCUGACGGAAAUAUGUAGGUAUAUACAUGUAUAUAUAUGAUUCAUUUCGAAAAAAUAAAUUGUGUUCUUUAUUUGUUAUAGUGCAUGUUUCUUGUGUUUAAUUGUUUACAAUUUCUAUUUACUAACCAUAUUUGAGUGUUAAGCUUCGAAUUAUAAGCAAGAUACAGAGAUUUGCUCACAAUUCUAUGUUUGUACACAGAUCUUAAAAACUAAAGAUUAAAAAAGUAAAAAGUUUGUCAAUAUUUAUUAAGAAAAUUUUCAUAGUCUGUUCUUCCAGAAACCAACUUUAACAACUAAUUGUAUUGUAAACUUAACAUUUUUUCGUCAUUAUUACUCCUACUGUACAUGUGAUCCUGGACUGUGUUUAUGUACAUUUGUAUAAACUGAUUUUGAACCUCAAAUACCAGUGAACUGGUCUUGAGUGAAUAAAAGAAUUGAAAAUCUU